AACGAACGCUGGCGGCAUGCCUAACACAUGCAAGUCGAACGAGACCUUCGGGUCUAGAGGCGCACGGGUGCGUAACGCGUGGGAACCUGCCCUUAGGUUCGGAAUAACUCCCCGAAAGGGGUGCUAAUACCGGAUAAUGUCUUCGGACCAAAGAUUUAUCGCCUUUGGAUGGGCCCGCGUUGGAUUAGCUAGUUGGUAGGGUGAAAGCCUACCAAGGCGACGAUCCAUAGCUGGUCUGAGAGGAUGAUCAGCCACACUGGGACUGAGACACGGCCCAGACUCCUACGGGAGGCAGCAGUGGGGAAUAUUGGACAAUGGGCGAAAGCCUGAUCCAGCAAUGCCGCGUGAGUGAUGAAGGCCUUAGGGUUGUAAAGCUCUUUUACCCGGGAUGAUAAUGACAGUACCGGGAGAAUAAGCUCCGGCUAACUCCGUG
rnacentral:rRNA from 1 species